rfam:Vicugna pacos cont1.94712, whole genome shotgun sequence.
UUGAGAAAGAGUGGUCAAGCCCUUCUCUCCCAGACACAAACUAUUUCUUCCCCAGGGCAGUAUUUCCCAAUUAUCCCUUCCUGUCAUCAUCUCCUUCUUAUCUGGGCUCAUCAGCAUUUCAGCCAAGUUACUGUGCUGCAAAGUCACUGGGAAAAUUGGGACCCCACACAGAGGUGAAUAUCUCCGAGACACAUGAAA